rnacentral:rRNA from 2 species
GGUUGACCUCGGAUUAGGUAGGAAU